GACGAACGCUGGCGGCGUGCUUAACACAUGCAAGUCGAACGGAAAGGCCCUGCUUUUGUUGGGUGCUCGAGUGGCUAACGUGUGAGUAACACGUGUGUAACCUGCCCUUUACUUUGGCAUAACUUCUGUAAACUUGGGCUACUACCUGUUAUUAGCUCCUGCUCCAUAGUGUGGUUUGGAUAGUUUCGGCGGUUGGUGUUGUACUCGGGGCUUAUCAGCCUGGUUGUGGGGUAGUGGCUUACCAAGGCUUUGACGGGUAGCCGGCCUGAUAGGGUGACCGGAGACAUGGGGACUGAGAUAAGGCGCAGAAGCAGACGGGAGGAAGCAGUGAGGAGUAGAACACAAUGGGAGGAAGCCUGAUGCAGCAACGACGCGUGCGGGAUGACGGACUUCGGGUGGUAAACCGCUAUCGACUGUGACGAAGCGGGAGUGACGGUAAUGGGUAAAGAAGCACCGGCUAACUACGUG
rnacentral:rRNA from 1 species